AAGACUAUAGACCUGCGGAGUACCUGCGGAAGGAUCAUUAAUGAGUUUCUAAAACUCCCAACCCAUGUGAACAUACCUCUGUUGCCUCGGCGGCCUACCCGGUAGCUACCCUGUAGCUACCCUGUAGUUCGCCGAAGGACAUCAAAACUCUGUUUUAAGUAUUAUCUCUGAAAAACUUUUAAAUAAGUCAAAACUUUUAACAACGGAUCUCU
rnacentral:misc_RNA from 1 species